rnacentral:rRNA from 1 species
GACGAACGCUGGCGGCGUGCUUAACACAUGCAAGUCGAACGGAAAGGCCCUGCUUUUGUGGGGUGCUCGAGUGGCGAACGGGUGAGUAACACGUGAGUAACCUGCCCUUGACUGUGGGAUAACUUCAGGAAACUGGGGCUAAUACCGGAUAGGAGCUCCUGCUGCAUGGUGUGGGUUGGAAAGUUUCGGCGGUUGGGGAUGGACUCGCGGCUUAUCAGCUUGUUGGUGGGGUAGUGGCUUACCAAGGCUUUGACGGGUAGCCGGCCUGAGAGGGUGACCGGCCACAAUGGGACUGAGAUACGGACCAGACGGCUACGGGAGGCAGCAGUGGGGAAUAUUGCACAAUGGGCGGAAGCGUGAUGCAGCAACGCUGCGUGCGGGAUGACGGCCUUCGGGUUGUAAACCGCUUUCGAAUGUGACGAAGAGUGAGUGACGGUAAUGGGUAAAGAAGCACCGGCUAACUACGUG